rnacentral:rRNA from 1 species
GACGAACCCUUGCGGCGUGCUUAACACAUGCAAGUCGAACGGAAAGGCCCUGCUUUUGUGGGGUGCUCGAGUGGCGAACGGGUGAGUAACACGUGAGUAACCUGCCCUUGACUUUGGGAUAACUUCAGGAAACUGGGGCUAAUACCGGAUAGGAGCUCCUGCUGCAUGGUGGGGGUUGGAAAGUUUCGGCGGUUGGGGAUGGACUCGCGGCUUAUCAGCUUGUUGGUGGGGUAGUGGCUUACCAAGGCUUUGACGGGUAGCCGGCCUGAGAGGGUGACCGGCCACAUUGGGACUGAGAUACGGCCCAGACUCCUACGGGAGGCAGCAGUGGGGAAUAUUGCACAAUGGGCGGAAGCCUGAUGCAGCAACGCCGCGUGCGGGAUGACGGCCUUCGGGUUGUAAACCGCUUUCGCCUGUGACGAAGCGUGAGUGACGGUAAUGGGUAAAGAAGCACCGGCUAACUACGUGCCAGCAGCCGCGGUGAUACGUAGGGUGCGAGCGUUGUCCGGAUUUAUUGGGCGUAAAGGGCUCGUAGGUGGUUGAUCGCGUCGGAAGUGUAAUCUUGGGGCUUAACCCUGAGCGUGCUUUCGAUACGGGUUGACUUGAGGAAGGUAGGGGAGAAUGGAAUUCCUGGUGGAGCGGUGGAAUGCGCAGACAUCAGGAGGAACACCAGUGGCGAAGGCGGUUCUCUGGGCCUUUCCUGACGCUGAGGAGCGAAAGCGUGGGGAGCGAACAGGCUUAGAUACCCUGGUAGUCCACGCUGUAAACGGUGGGUACUAGGUGUGGGGUCCAUUCCACGGGUUCCGUGCCGUAGCUAACGCUUUAAGUACCCCGCCUGGGGAGUACGGCCGCAAGGCUAAAACUCAAAGGAAUCGACGGGGCCCCGCACAAGCGGCGGAGCAUGCGGAUUAAUUCGAUGCAACGCGUAGAACCUUACCUGGGUUUGACAUGGAUCGGGAGUGCUCAGAGAUGGGUGUGCCUCUUUUGGGGUCGGUUCACAGGUGGUGCAUGGCUGUCGUCAGCUCGUGUCGUGAGAUGUUGGGUUAAGUCCCGCAACGAGCGCAACCCUUGUUCACUGUUGCCAGCACGUUAUGGUGGGGACUCAGUGGAGACCGCCGGGGUCAACUCGGAGGAAGGUGGGGAUGACGUCAAGUCAUCAUGCCCCUUAUGUCCAGGGCUUCACGCAUGCUACAAUGGCUGGUACAGAGAGUGGCGAGCCUGUGAGGGUGAGCGAAUCUCGGAAAGCCGGUCUCAGUUCGGAUUGGGGUCUGCAACUCGACCUCAUGAAGUCGGAGUCGCUAGUAAUCGCAGAUCAGCAACGCUGCGGUGAAUACGUUCCCGGG